GUCGACUGAUAUAAUUAACCACCUUUGGUAUGAACGAUAUAUAGCCAUCAAUGUGUUUUUUACUGCACUUACUUUGUAAUGGUAAAUUUAAAUUUUCAGUUUGUUCUGCUUGAUAUCACAUUUACACCAUUUAGUUGAUGUUGGCCUGUUGCUUGCUGGUGCUGGUCAUGAUAUCAUGUUUCAUCGAUAAGCAUUUGAUGUGUAAUUCCA
rnacentral:misc_RNA from 1 species